GACGAACGCUGGCGGCGUGCUUAACACAUGCAAGUCGAACGGAAAGGCCCUGCUUUUGUGGGGUGCUCGAGUGGCGAACGGGUGAGUAACACGUGAGUAACCUGCCCUUGACUUUGGGGUAACUUCAGGAAACUGGGGCUAAUACCGGAUAGGAGCUCCUGCUGCAUGGUGGGGGUUGGAAAGUUUCGGCGGUUGGGGAUGGACUCGCGGCUUAUCAGCUUGUUGGUGGGGUAGUGGCUUACCAAGGCUUUGACGGGUAGCCGGCCUGAGAGGGUGACCGGCCACAUUGGGACUGAGAUACGGCCCAGACUCCUACGGGAGGCAACAGUGGGGAAUAUUGCACAAUGGGCGGAAGCCUGAUGCAGCAACGCCGCGUGCGGGAUGACGGCCUUCGGGUUGUAAACCGCUUUCGCCUGUGACGAAGCGUGAGUGACGGUAAUGGGUAAAGAAGCACCGGCUAACUACGU
rnacentral:rRNA from 1 species